CUUACUGGGAUCAUCAUGAUGAGAGGGAGGCUCCCUUUUUAGUCAUCUCCCUUUCUAGUGAAUGAUAAAUUACUCGCUAAGGAAUCCUACCCUAUCUGGAUAGAUGGCUAUUUGCCCAAACAUGAACAUGAAGAGUGCUGCAUUUAGGUCGGACACAAAAGCCUGCUUCUGUUCUCUGGGUUGGAGUCCCAAGUCUUGGCAGAUUCUUGCCCCAGAGCAAAGGUGGUGACAGCCAGUGGCAUCCUAAAACUACAGAAAAGAUGAAUGGCAUCCCACUUACCCUGUCAGCUUGAUUUAAUGCCAGGAGCAGUUGAUGUGGAAAGCGCCCUCUCUGGUCAUGAUUGGAAUAACAUCUCAUCAGGUUUGGCUGUCUUGGCCCAGCCUCUGGUAUCAGUAGUGGCCAGACUUCUUGGAGCCAACGGAUCCCCUCUCACAUCUGUUAAGAUCAUUCCAUCUCAGCCCUUGCUCCAUAAAAACUCCCUGGCCAGAAAUACUCCAUAAAUCUCACUCGGCUAUUUUCUCUAACCUUGUGAAGUUCAAAUUCCUGGGAGGUUUUUCUGUCUGGGGACUACUAUGGAUAAUAUGUCAGCUUAUGCGCAUUUGAGGUUUUCUUUUGUGGCGUAACUGGGUAGCAUAAUGGCCGGUGUACUCAUAAAAAAUAGUUGAAGUUGUAAAUAAAUAUGAUGAUUCGUGCCCAGGGUAUAUUUCUUCCAUAUAAAUGUAUCAAUCAUGUGGCUUAGAUUAUCUAAGCUGAAAUUAUUUUGUUAUCUUGCUUUUAGAUUAGUUUUUCCAUUUUGAAACAAAUACUGUAUUGCUUCCUUUAAACCACGAAGAGAGGGUUUUUAUGACUACAUUCAUAGAGUCAUGUUGCAGGCAGAAUGUCUCCUUUUUUCUGAACAAAACUGAAACGUGAAUGAGCUGUGGACGGGGACAAUUUGAUGCUGAAAAUCAAGUUGAAAUUGGUGCAGAGAUAAAGCAAUAGGAAUGCGGGUACAUUUAGAUUGAUUGUGGUAAAUACGGGUACAUUUAGAUUGAUUGUGGUAUUGCACAUGAAGAUCUGCUUAUAAUCAUUGACUGCUUGCCGCAUUCAUUUUAGUCCCUCAGUUCUCUUCAUAAUUUCAAAUGUGCACUAGUUUUUCCUUUAAGGUGAAUCUCAAUUCCAGAAGAUUGUAUUGAGAGAAACAGGAUUGUCAAGGAUUACAGGCAAGCAUUGCCGAGUUCAGCUCAGGACGCGGGCAAUCCAUUGACAUCUUCUCUCUCUCUGUCUGUAUCCAGUUUGGCUUACAGCUUUCCAGAGACCCUAGGGCAGUUUAUGUGUGGCUGUGGAUUCACUCUCAAUCCACUUGUCUUUGCUGAAGUCUGGACUGUUAGAAUUUCAAUCAAAGGAUUGAAAUUGUAAGGAUUAUCUUUUUUUUUAUUAUUGAUGGAAUUUUGACAGACACAAUCUUGAUGAAGGAUAGAAACAUUUCAGCCUAAAAUGUAUUGCCAGUCAUUUUAUAUAGUUCACACCAAAGGAUUCAUUGCUGGCGGAUUUGUUUGAUCUUGAAAGAUCUGCCAGUUGUAUUUUACAACUUAGAGCCAUAAUUUAACUGGUCAAGAAUGUAAAUGUUCUCAGUCUUAUUUGGAUUUGAAAAAAGUUUUCCUAUCAUGUUGUAUAUAUGCGUUACUUGAUGGAAUACGUUGUAAUAAACUUUCAACGUAAACCAAAAAAACUCACUUAAAAAUGUCUGACUUAA